GUGUCAGCCGCCGCGGUAAUACGAAGGGGGCUAGCGUUGCUCGGAAUUACUGGGCGUAAAGGGCGCGUAGGCGGCUGUAUCAGUCAGGCGUGAAAUUCCUGGGCUCAACCUGGGGGCUGCGCUUGAUACGGUAUGGCUUGAGGACGGAAGAGGCUCGCGGAAUUCCCAGUGUAGAGGUGAAAUUCGUAGAUAUUGGGAAGAACACCGGUGGCGAAGGCGGCGAGCUGGUCCGUUACUGACGCUGAGGCGCGACAGCGUGGGGAGCAAACAGGAUUAGAUACCCUGGUAGUCCACGCCGUAAACGAUGUGCGCUGGAUGUUGGGUGGCCUAGCCACUCAGUGUCGUAGCCAACGCGGUAAGCGCACCGCCUGGGGAGUACGGCCGCAAGGUUGAA
rnacentral:rRNA from 1 species